GCCGUGGUGGUGUAGUGGUAGAGCACGCCUGGUCCUUGGUCACUCAUUUGUUGUAAGUCUCUCAUUUAUUCCAAAAGUUUGUCUCUCUUUAGGGGAUCGGGAGGUCGCAGGUUCGGUUCCUGCCUACGGUG
rnacentral:tRNA from 1 species